CCGAGUUGUAAUUUGUAGAGGAUGCUUUUGGUGAGGUGCCGCCCGAGUUCCCUGGAACGGGACGCCACAGAGGGUGAGAGCCCCGUCUGGCUGGCCACCGAGCCUCUGUAAAGCUCCUUCGACGAGUCGAGUAGUUUGGGAAUGCUGCUCAAAAUGGGAGGUAUAUGUCUUCUAAAGCUAAAUAUUGGCCAGAGACCGAUAGCGCACAAGUAGAGUGAUCGAAAGAUGAAAAGCACCUUGAAAAGAGGGUUAAACAGUACGUGAAAUUGUUGAAAGGGAAGCGCUUGUGACCAGACUUGGGCGCGGCGAAUCAUCCGGGGUUCUCUCCGGUGCACUUCGCCGUGUUCAGGCCAGCAUCAGUUCGGCGCGGGGGAAAAAGGCUUCGGGAACGUGGCUGCUCCGGGAGUGUUAUACCCCGNUGCAUAAUACCCUGCGCUGGACUGAGGACCGCGCAUCUGC
rnacentral:rRNA from 1 species